AGUAAUAAAGUUGUAUAAUUAUGAAAAAUAUAAAUAAUUGUAAAAGAUUAUUAUAUUUUUAUAUUUUUAUAUUAUUUAAAGUCGUAUUUAAAUAUAUUUAUUUUAAUGAUGAUAUAUAAUUUACUAUCAUAUUUUAAAAAGUUUAUCAAAAAUAUAAAUAAAUAUUAAAUGUAAUUGUUCAUGUUACAUUGAAGAUUAAAUUUAUCGGUAUCAGUGAGUAUAUAAUACUACUACCAAUGGGUUACGGCAAUUGAAAAGUUUACCAAAAACACCUAAUAAGUAAUUGAACAAUGCUAAUCAAGAAAUAAAUAUCGUAAAUAUUCACUUAGUCAUUCUUAUCUACCUAACUCAUAGAUCACAAAACGACUACUCACUCAUCUUCAUGACAAUCAUUAAACUUGCUUUAAAGAUCCAAGAGAUUCAAGUUUCACAAGUUUUUAAGAGAGAAAAUGAAAUAGAUCUAGGUUUUUAUUAGAAAAAAUAUAUAGAAGGCUAAAACAAACACAAACUCCAUUUUUUGAAACGCAAACGUCAAAAGCAGCGACCUUAUUUUGACUGCGUUUGCCACUGAUGGACCAGCGAUCGACCGUAUAAAAUUGUGCAGAUUGAUCUGUCGAUCGAUCGACCAUAUCACGCUAUGGUAUGCCGUUUACCUCAAAUUCUUCAUCCUCGACAUGAAUCCGACGUGGUGGCCAGCUGGUCGUCCUCGCUUCAGUCUUCUCGUAGAAAGCUCGAGCAACAAUGAUCGAUCUUCGAAUUCAGCCUCAAACUUUCGAGUUAGAACUCUAGCCCAAGUCCCCUUGCAUUUAGCUCUGACCCCAAUUUGGCUCCAAACUCAUGAAAUUGCAGAUAUCCUCUUAGUUUGACCCCAAACUUCCAAAAGUGCAAUCUAGACCAUGUCAAAUGUAAAUUAACAAAUAUAUGCACCAAAAUUUUAUAAUUGCAAUCUAAAUGAUUAAAAUGGGCUAAAUGAGAUGCUAAAUAUUAUUAAAAUCAUAACAUAUCAGUCAUGUUAAGUAUAACAGUGUUUAACAUGUUUUGAAAAUUAGUAUAUAAUAGAGAAAUAGUUUGAACAACUGAUUUACAAUGUUCUGAAAAUUGGUUUAUAACAGAAAUAUACUUUGAACAACUGAUUCAAAUUUGAAAAUCGUUAUAUAACAAAGCAAUAUGAUGACCAAUUGCUUAUAUUGUUAAUAAGAGUUCAAAAUUACAUAAUUUGUAAUUAGAUUAAGAAGAAACAUAAACUUAAUAAGUUUGGAAUUGCAUAAUUUGAUUAAGAAGAAAUAUAAACUUAAAGUAUAUUGUCUUUGGGUUUUCGUGACAAUAACAAUCCACAUAAAAUGAUGCAGGUGUCCGAGCCACAAAACCCAAAGGAAUGUUGAACAUGUC